rnacentral:lncRNA from 1 species
UUUUUACAUUUUUCCGAUAAAAAAACAAAAAAGUAACCAAAAGAACCAAAAUUUUUAACAUAACCAAAAAUCGUAGAAAAAAACAUGAAAACAUAAACAUCCAAAGAAUUGUACAAGCAUUAUCAUUCAAGCAAAUUACAAGCAAACAAAAGUUUCAACUUUCAAACAUACGUCUCAUUCUCACAAUCUGAUAACAAACAUAAUCUGAUACCAAAAUUCAAACUCCAGUCCAAACUCUAUCUCCAAUCUCGAAAGCUUUGAAUAAGGCUUCAUAUGUAAGAGAAGACUCGUAAGAAAUAUAAUUCUAUAAAAUUAAACAAAUCAUGUUUUUCAAUUCAAUGGCUUAGAAAUGAAAGCAUUACCAAAGUCAUUCACAAGGAGCAGUCUUCAAUCUUCUCAAUUCCUCAUGUCUGAUGUGUCUCACCGCUCUCACCUCUUACACAAAACACAAUACUAAAAA